GGAAGCACAAGAUCCUUCUCCAGUCCACCAUGCUGAACCACACAGGAGUACUUAUUCUUGUUCAGAUCCUCAGGAGAUCAUCACUCGUCUGGGGAAGAAACCUGUAGCGUGACACACCACUGGAGAAGAGGAGUCCUUCUGGAACAGGGUCACCUCAGGAGGGUCUGAGAGAUACAGAGAGAGAGCAAUCGGGAGAAAGUGAGAGGGAUAAUCACCUUGACUACAGCCAGAGAAUGUGAGCGGCGUGGAGUGAAAGCAGAAUGGGAACAGAGUGAUGCAGUUUGACCAAAACAUAGAGCGCUGGUGGUUUUCUCUCGCACCAAGAUCACUUUAGUAUCUCUACAGCGAAACACACAACAUCAUGCCAUAUUUAAAUCACACCGUACGAGCUUACAAGCUUGGAGUACUCUGGGUGUUUUCACAUAGAUCAAAAAUAGAAUUCCCUAACUAAAAAUCUUAACAGUGAACACAGGUGUGGUGAUGUCAUCACUACCAUGAAGGAUUCACAGAAUGAGGAAAACACAAUGGAGUGAAGGGACUGCAGCACGCUCUGAGCGAAGAGUGGGAAUAUGUAAAGUUGGAGCAGGGUUGGAGCAGCGUGAUUACAGAAGCUUUUAGCGAGGAGUGGAAUUUUCUGCCACUCCAUUUCACUCACAUACUCUGAUGGCAUCACACCCACAUGCAGUGGACUCUUGGUAUCUCUCACUGCAAGAGCUGCUGGCUAAAUGUGUCACAGUGAAGGGGAGACCAAGUGUGAGAACUGCUCCUGCUCCUAGUGUGCCCUCUGCUGGGUCUGACAGGUACUGCAUGUGCGAGGACUGCUCUGCUCCUAGUGUGUCCAGUCCAGGUGCAGUCAGGGUGUGGAAGCCCAGGGGAGCAGCAGAAGGAAAGAGCA